AGGGAAGAUCAGGCUCCUAGCAGGAGGAAGAAGUGCUAUCACUCUGGACAGAGCAGUGCUGCCAGCAAAGACCAGGGAAGCUAGAGAGAGCUCCUGGCUAGCUGCUAAGACUGGCAGGCUGAAGCCCUGAGUUUGAAUGGAUGCUGGGUAUAGUGGUUCAGGAUGCCCUGGUCAGCCUGGAUGCCAACCUUCUGACUUCAGAAUCUAUUAUGGAAAUGCAUCGGAGCUAAUAGGUGCCAGAUCAGGCUACUGCAGUGACUCUGUGCUUCAAAUCAGUUCCUGAGGAGGCUUUGCCACCGCAGCAGCUGCAGCAUGUCCUACGUGCAUACUAGGAGCUGUUUGAUGGUCUUCUGAAGGAGCAGCCCAUGACAGAACCAGCAGCAGAAACAGAAUGGGCAGAUUAGCCCAGAGCCUGUAGGAUAUAAAAAUUGGCAGCAGCUGACAGUUGAGAAGACAGCUGACAGAGGUACAAUUAGUGCAGUCUCUGAAGAACAGCAGCAGAGGGAGUCCUGUGCUGUCACUAGAAGUGAGGAGCUGAGGAGACGCAGGAAGAGAGAGGGAGAAGAAGCAGAGACCUGAAAGGAGACUAAACAGAGAUGAGACCUGUUACCAGCGGCUGUCAGCGACCUGUGUAAAUCUGAUCACCUGAAGUGGAGUACAACCACUUAGGAUCAUCUUACCUGUUUGUCACUGUGGUUUGGGGUGCAACAGCCUGUUGUGUGUGGAUUUGUGUUUUAGAUUAUGAUUGUGUCAGAGAUUGUUGUUUGCACCAAUAAAA